CCUACGGGAGGCAGCAGUGGGGAAUAUUGCACAAUGGGCGAAAGCCUGAUGCAGCGACGCCGCGUGAGGGAUGACGGCCUUCGGGUUGUAAACCUCUUUCAGCAGGGAAGAAGCGAAAGUGACGGUACCUGCAGAAGAAGCGCCGGCUAACUACGUGCCAGCAGCCGCGGUAAUACGUAGGGCGCAAGCGUUGUCCGGAAUUAUUGGGCGUAAAGAGCUCGUAGGCGGCUUGUCACGUCGGAUGUGAAAGCCCGGGGCUUAACCCCGGGUCUGCAUUCGAUACGGGCUAGCUAGAGUGUGGUAGGGGAGAUCGGAAUUCCUGGUGUAGCGGUGAAAUGCGCAGAUAUCAGGAGGAACACCGGUGGCGAAGGCGGAUCUCUGGGCCAGUUACUGACGCUGAGGAGCGAAAGCGUGGGGAGCGAACAGGAUUAGAUACCCUGGUAGUCCACGCCGUAAACGUUGGGAACUAGGUGUUGGCGACAUUCCACGUCGUCGGUGCCGGCNGCUACGACAUAGUUACCCGUCCGUCGGGAGGUACGGCCGGCGACGGACGUAAACCGUUAAACGGUAAGUUAAGUACGGUCGUUGAGACGUUAGCCGAACGGACGACGACGAGGGAGGUUAGG
rnacentral:rRNA from 1 species